rnacentral:rRNA from 1 species
UACGAAGGGGGCUAGCGUUGCUCGGAAUUACUGGGCGUAAAGGGCGCGUAGGCGGAUAUUUAAGUCGGGGGUGAAAGCCCGGGGCUCAACCUCGGAAUUGCCUUCGAUACUGGAUAUCUUGAGUUCGGGAGAGGUGAGUGGAAUGCCGAGUGUAGAGGUGAAAUUCGUAGAUAUUAGCUAGAACACCAGUGGCGAAGGCGGCCAACUGGUCCGACACUGACGCUGAGGUGCGAAAGCGUGGGGAGCAAACAGG